rnacentral:rRNA from 1 species
UACGGGGGGAGCAAGGGUUGUUCGGAUUUACUGGGCGUAAAGGGCGCGUAGGCGGCCACUGCAAGUCAGUUGUGAAAUCUCCGGGCUUAACCCGGAAAGGUCAACUGAUACUGCAGGGCUAGAGUGCAGAAGGGGCAACUGGAAUUCUCGGUGUAGCGGUGAAAUGCGUAGAUAUCGAGAGGAACACCUGCGGCGAAGGCGGGUUGCUGGGCUGACACUGACGCUGAUGUGCGAAAGCUAGGGGAGCGAACGGG